rnacentral:rRNA from 1 species
CACUCCUACGGGAGGCAGCAGUGGGGAAUAUUGCACAAUGGGCGCAAGCCUGAUGCAGCCAUGCCGCGUGUAUGAAGAAGGCCUUCGGGUUGUAAAGUACUUUCAGCGGGGAGGAAGGCGAUAAGGUUAAUAACCUUGUCGAUUGACGUUACCCGCAGAAGAAGCACCGGCUAACUCCGUGCCAGCAGCCGCGGUAAUACGGAGGGUGCAAGCGUUAAUCGGAAUUACUGGGCGUAAAGCGCACGCAGGCGGUCUGUCAAGUCGGAUGUGAAAUCCCCGGGCUCAACCUGGGAACUGCAUUCGAAACUGGCAGGCUAGAGUCUUGUAGAGGGGGGUAGAAUUCCAGGUGUAGCGGUGAAAUGCGUAGAGAUCUGGAGGAAUACCGGUGGCGAAGGCGGCCCCCUGGACAAAGACUGACGCUCAGGUGCGAAAGCGUGGGGAGCAAACAGGAUUAGAAACCCGUGUAGUCCC